CAGUUAUAGUUUAUUUGGUAACCAAACUUACAUGGAUAACCGUGGUAAUUCUAGAGCUAAUACAUGCUGUCAAGCCCGACUCACGAAGGGCCGUAUUUAUUAGAUAUCAGCCAAUAAGCAUCUGCUAUUGUGGUGACUCAUAGUAACUUAAUCGGAUCGCAUGGGCUUGCCCCGCGACAAACCAUUCAAGUUUCUGCCCCAUCAUGCUUUCGAUGGUAGUGUAUUGGACUACCAUGGCUUUCACGGGUAACGGAGGAUUAGGGUUCGAUUCCGGAGAGGGAGCCUGAGAAACGGCUACCACUCCCACGGAAGGCAGCAGGCGCGUAAAUUACCCAAUCCUGACUUAGGGAGGUAGUGACAAGAAAUAAUGGGUCGGGGUUUUGCCCCGGGACUGCAAUGAGACGAAUUUAGACCCCUUAUCGAGGACCAAUUGGAGGGCAAGUCUGGUGCCAGCAGCCGCGGUAAUUCCAGCUCCAAUAGCGUAUAUUAAAGUUGUUGCAGUUAAAAAGCUCGUAGUUGGAUUUCUGGUUAAAGGUUAGAGCGCACCUGUGUGAGGCUCGAGUCUUUUGCCAUCCUUCUGUUAACCUUUCAUGACAUUCAUUUGUCGGUUUGGGGCUCAGAUAUUUUACCUUGAGAAAAUUAGAGUGUUUCAGGCAGGCUUGUGCCCGGAUACAUUAGCAUGGAAUAAUAGAACAGGACUUUAGCCUCUUCUGUUGGUUUGAGGGGUUGGAGUAAUGAUUAAUAGGGAUAGUUGGGGGCAUUAGUACUUAACUGUCAG
rnacentral:rRNA from 1 species